GACGAACGCUGGCGGCGUGCCUAAUACAUGCAAGUUGAGCGAUGAAGAUUGGUGCUUGCACCAAUUUGAAGAGCAGCGAACGGGUGAGUAACGCGUGGGGAAUCUGCCUUUGAGCGGGGGACAACAUUUGGAAACGAAUGCUAAUACCGCAUAACAACUUUAAACAUAAGUUUUAAGUUUGAAAGAUGCAAUUGCAUCACUCAAAGAUGAUCUCGCGUUGUAUUAGCUAGUUGGUGAGGUAAAGGCUCACCAAGGCGAUGAUACAUAGCCGACCUGAGAGGGUGGGCGGCCACAUUGGGACUGAGACACGGCCCAAACGCCUACGGGAGGCAGCAGUAGGGAAUCUUCGGCAAUGGACGAAAGUCUGACCGAGCAACGCCGCGUGAGUGAAGAAGGUUUUCGGAUCGUAAAACUCGGUUGGUAGAGAAGAACGUUGGUGAGAGUGGAAAGCUCAUCAAGUGACGGUAACUACCCAGAAAGGGACGGCUAACUACGUG
rnacentral:rRNA from 1 species